GACAGAGGCCUCGAGCGUUAGGCGGAAUCACUGGGCUUAAAGCGUGUGUAGGCGGGCCCGUAAGUGUCUUGUGAAAUCCCACGGCUCAACCGUGGAACUGCUGGGCAUACUGCGGGUCUGGGCCAACUAGGGGCAGCCGGAACAAGCGGUGGAGCGGUGAAAUGCGUAGAUAUCGGCUUGGAACGCGAAGGUGAAAACAGGCUGCUGGG
rnacentral:rRNA from 1 species